UUAAAUUAGUGUUGUUUUGAUCUUGACCCUUGAUUUAAUUUAAGGGAACCCUUGUUACUGGCAAAGCAGGCCAUGUAUUUAAACAAAGAAAAAAAAAACACUUCUCUUUCUACGCUUCAGAACUCUCUCUACGCUUCUAUCUGUACGCUUCUUCUCUCUCAACUUCUUUCUCUUCCAAUCCAGCUACAAGACCAGAGCCACCACUACUAAACAAAACCCUAAGCAAGACCCACAAUAUAAGAAACAUAGUAUUUUAAUUCCAGCCGCUCUCUGCUCCGACUACGGUAUUGACCUACACCAUUGAGGCCGUCAAAAAGUGGGGUUAGAUUAAGUUCUAUAAUUGCAGCUUGAUGGGAAGUAUGUCGUUUACUCUUACACUGGUGGAGUGAUGAAGAUUUUACCAUCGAAUGAUGAAGUACAUUGUUGUCUGUUGACCACCUAUUAAUGGGUGUUUUGAGGAAA